GCUAACCUGCACUGUGUCCAUCUUCAAGUGGAACAAACCAGCAGCCAAUCAGGAGUCAAGCUGAUGAGCUUCAACCACACCAAUAAACCCAACCUUUUAUGCAAAACAAAAUGCAAAUGUGUUGAGAAACUCUGAAGGCCAGCUAAACUUUAACUCUGAGUGGCUGUGAUGUUUGAGACAACAGCUGUUUUCCAUCUGUGCAUCCAGUAAAAGACCAACAUCAGUUAGUUCAACGAGGGAUUACUCCAGCCUUUACAAAGCGCCUCCUCAUGACCCCUGUUUCCCACUCCUUCUGUGCCUCCAUUUAUCUUAAUCCUAACAGACAAGAACAAUAACUUUCUCUCAAGUGAGGCCAGUUCUUUAUACCUACAGGUCUGAAGUCUGUGUGCCAGCAGACUCUCCUCUCAUCAGGCUUAUUCAGAGGCUUGCCCUCUAUGUAAAGGCAGAGGACGAAGUUUACUCUCUUCUCCAACUCCAUUAAAUAAACAUUGAAUGUUACACUCUCGGCAAGCUCCAGCUGACAGCCGAACUGUGUCACAUUCAAAGGGCACAGGAACUUUUACACUGCAGCUGCUAAAUCUGUGCAUGAAACUGACAAGAGCCGGCUGACAAAGCAGUUUUGUGUUUAUAGGUGUUGUGUGGCGUUUGAGAAUACACACCCAAUAAAUGUUUUAACACAGUAGGAGGUGUGUGUGUGUGUUUGUGUGUGAUGGUCUGUGCAGCUUUUGAAAAAUUAAAGGUAUAUGUUGUUUGUGGUCUACUUAAAACAAAAUCAGCUGUGGACCCACUAAGAGUAGAUGGGUCAUCAACCUGAAGAAGUUUUUUUUGAUGUUACUGAAAAAACUAAGAUUCAUACUGAUGCCUUUUCAUGAUAUACUGAAGCAAACACAGCUAUCAGCAACAUAUCUGAUGAUUUUCAAUGUGUAAUUUUUAGUUCCUUAAGUCAGUGUGUGUGUGUGUGUGUAAUUACAGUAAAUGUUACAUUUGACAGUCAAUAGUCAGCAGGAUUAUUGACAGAAGACACAACUCAAGCAUGUAGAGGACAAAAUAAGUAAAUACUGCUUUGUCCACAGGGUGGCGCCAAAGGUGGCCAAAUCAGAAAGUUCCUCACAGGAGCUUUAAUUUUUAAACCCAGUCAUUAUUAAGGAUAAGAAACCCUUCUGAAACUUAAUGGGUGCUUCAACUUAGGCUUUAACUUCUUUAGUAUAAUAAUGAUAGAAACUCGACUGCUGCCUGAGAAAAACUCAUUUCAAUACUCUCAGUGUAAAUACUCAUGAUAGAGGAAUUCCCAGACCCUACAAUCAAUGAAAGAUCUAAAGAAGGCUGGUUACUAACAGUCCACUCCAGUAAUGGGCUUUCAAAAAUAUUAAGUAAAGUUAAAUAAAUUUAAUUUAAACAUAAAUAUAUAAUAAAAUACAAAUCUCUGAACUUUGAAGUCAGGUAAGGCACCUUCGAAAAAACUAUUUUUAUGGGACAGCCAUCAUAAAACUUUGACAAAAUAAACACAGAGCUGAAAGGUGGAUUCACUGAACCCUUUAAAGG